CACGUAGGGGGCAAGCGUUGUCCGGAUUUAUUGGGCGUAAAGAGCUCGUAGGUGGUUCGGUAAGUCGGGUGUUAAACCCCCAGGCUCAACCUGGGGACGCCACUCGAUACUGCUGUGACUAGAGUCCGGUAGGGGAGCGUGGAAUUCCUGGUGUAGCGGUGAAAUGCGCAGAUAUCAGGAGGAACACCUGCGGUGUAGACGGCUUACUGGACCAUAACUGACGCUGAGGCACGAAAGCGUGGGUAGCAAACAGG
rnacentral:rRNA from 1 species